AGUGAACGCUGGCGGUAGGCCUAACACAUGCAAGUCGAACGGCAGCACAGUAAGAGCUUGCUCUUACGGGUGGCGAGUGGCGGACGGGUGCGGAAUACAUCGGAAUCUACUUUUUCGUGGGGGAUAACGUAGGGAAACUUACGCUAAUACCGCAUACGACCUACGGGUGAAAGCAGGGGAUCUUCGGAUCUUGCGCGAUUGAAUGAGCCGAUGUCGGAUUAGCUAGUUGGCGGGGUAAAGGCCCACCAAGGCGACGAUCCGUAGCUGGUCUGAGAGGAUGAUCGGCCACACUGGAACUGAGACACGGUCCAGACUCCUACGGGAGGCAGCAGUGGGGAAUAUUGGACAAUGGGCGCAAGCCUGAUCCAGCCAUACCGCGUGGGUGAAGAAGGCCUUCGGGUUGUAAAGCCCUUUUGUUGGGAAAGAAAAGCAGCAGGUUAAUACCCCGCUGUUCUGACGGUACCCAAAGAAUAAGCACCGGCUAACUUCGUG
rnacentral:rRNA from 1 species